rnacentral:rRNA from 1 species
CGGACGGGUGAGUAACGCGUAAGAACCUGCCCUUAGAGGGGGACAACAGCUGGAAACGGUUGCUAAUACCCCAUAUGCUGAGGAGCAAAAGGAGGAAUCCGCCCAAGGAGGGUCUUGCGUCUGAUUAGCUAGUUGGUGAGGUAAUGGCUCACCAAGGCAACGAUCAGUAGCUGGUCUGAGAGGAUGAUCAGCCACACUGGGACUGAGACACGGCCCAG